rnacentral:rRNA from 1 species
UACGUAGGGUGCAAGCGUUGUCCGGAAUUAUUGGGCGUAAAGAGCUCGUAGGCGGUCUGUCGCGUCGGCUGUGAAAUCCCGAGGCUCAACCUCGGGUCUGCAGUCGAUACGGGCAAACUGGAGUGUUGCAGGGGAGACUGGAAUUCCUGGUGUAGCGGUGAAAUGCGCAGAUAUCAGGAGGAACACCGGUGGCGAAGGCGGGUCUCUGGGCAACAACUGACGCUGAGGAGCGAAAGCGUGGGGAGCGAACAGU